rnacentral:lncRNA from 1 species
GUCACUGCUUUAUAAAGGAUAUUGGGAUUUGUCUGGGUGCCAGUCACCAGCUUUCCUGGAGUUUCUGUGCUUCAAAAGGAAAGACUUUCUGGAGAAGGCAGAGCUAGAGUUUCAAGCCCACACAACUUGAUUAUAUCUUAUACCCACUUCAGACUUCCUCAUUACACCUCUCUGGUCCUUUUGUUCCUGGGCUUCAUUAUCCAUCCCAUCUCAGCGUAGAGUUCCCAUCUGGCUGUUCCCCUGCUGAUUUACUGCCUGUCUCUUAGGGUCACUCAAGUCCUGCCCCUUUGGACUUUUUAAGAUCUGGUGACUCCUGCCCCCUCUUCAUUGUUCAUAAAACUUGACCUCGAUGCCGAUGCACAACUUAGGAUGCUUGCUGUUUUAAAGAUCUAUUCUCUUUUUCAAACUAAACUUCAUAGAGAUGGGCCUAUCACGUAUCUAACUGGUGCUUGGUGUGUGGGGGGCUACCAGAACACACUGAGUGAAAGAUAUCUGAAAUAACAUUGUAGUGCCAUUCUAGAUACGUUGAUGACGAGAAUCCUGUGCAAAGC